rnacentral:rRNA from 1 species
GACAGAGGAUGCAAGCGUUAUCCGGAAUGAUUGGGCGUAAAGCGUGCGCAGGCGGUUUGUUAAGACAGCUGUGAAAUCCCCGGGCUUAACCUGGGAACUGCAUUUGUGACUGGCAAGCUAGAGUAUGGCAGAGGGGGGUAGAAUUCCACGUGUAGCAGUGAAAUGCGUAGAGAUGUGGAGGAAUACCGAUGGCGAAGGCAGCCCCCUGGGCCAAUACUGACGCUCAUGCACGAAAGCGUGGGGAGCAAACAGG